rnacentral:misc_RNA from 1 species
UUGGGAGCUUUCAUCUUGCAGAGCACUGCUGUAUUUGAGAUGCAGCACCCAGAUUGGAUUACCACUGUCAUUAAUGAUGACUCACCCACCCUUGUAUCACUCAUUGCCAUCGCCAUAUUAUUGAUGUUUGUGGCAUGGUCUGUGUCAAAGUGGAGAAAGCCCCAGCUAAAGACAGUUUAUGAUCUAGAGAAAGGGCGGUACAUAGUUACUCGUGUUGGAAGAAGUUGACAAGUAUAUUUCAAGGAGAUGAGUACUUUUUUCUGGGCUUUGUAGAUUAAGAGGAAGCUCCUGUGUAAUUUCAAUUAGCAUUUAAAUAUUUUUUAUGCUCCCUUCGGGGGCAUGUCCAACUGCCAAAAUGUUCUCUCUUAAAGCUACCCUUUUCCUUGGAAAGGUGAGGUUGUACCAUGCUGAGUUGUAGUGUAACAUAGGAUAGAAGAUUAGAUUCGUUUCCCGUAUUGUAUCUAGUGAGACUUCAUCACAGCAGAUGCUUUUUCAAGUGCAUUUUUUAUUUGGAGUCUUCCCUCCCUCUUUUAUGUCUCUCCCUCAGUUACUGAGGAACACAAUAUAUUUUUAGUGAUUUAACAUAUUGUUUGUUU